AGUUUAUUCUAUAUGGGUUUCAAAGAUGCAUGAUGUACACACAUUUACAACACAUGCAUAUGUAGCUAGGUAUACCCUGGUGGGUAGUGCAUAUACAAGCCAAUACACAUACACACAAUUGAAAAACUAGCACAAGAGUGGCAUGCCAAGCCAUGCCAUGAUUGCAAACUCUCUCAAGGUCACACUAACAAAUAAAAAUGCGGCACCAACCAAUAUACGGGUUGGCAUAUAUCAACUGACCGUCUGAUGGAUUAUUAAUUUAUGCAUGCACACACAUAUAUAUGUCGUCUUGGGUUAUCUGAUCAUCAGUUCUGCCAAAUGUCAUCCAUACCCAUGUUCAUCAAUGAGGUCUCGCCAACUGCUGUUGUAGCGGUGUUCCCUGGGUAGUUGUUCCUCAGCCCGGCCACAGUGUCCUCCUGUGACAGCAUCGACGCCAACCCACUUCCAGGUUGAGCCCCGACCAUGAGACCCUGAUCUGCACCCAUAUGCAUCAUCAUCUGUUGAUGUUGUUGUUGGUGUUGGUAGAGCGACAGAGGCAGUGUUGGGUUGGCCAUCAUUUGGUGGUGGUGGUUGUUCCCGAUGUAGUGGUAAUUCAUCAUAGGAAGCGCCACACUGCCCAUCAUCGAUGAGCCAGUUCCGACAUCGUGCGACUUGUAUGAAGAAGCUCCAGGAAACAGCGGUGCAUGCGCACAUGUUGACGACAUGUCAUAUUCCAUGAGAGGAGGCAAUGUAUCUAAGUCGACAAAGGCCUGCUGAUGUUCUGCUCCUGUGUACAUUGGCAUGUUAUAUGACGGUGUCACCAUCUUCUUUAGUCCGGUGCUCUUAUGGAAGAUCCUGCAAACCACCCACUGUUCCUACAAACAUACAUAAAUUAAAUAAGUACAAAUCAAAUGUGUUCUGUAGCAUGCCCCAGGUGUGACGCUAUUGUCACAGAUGCUGAUCACUUUUUCAUUAACUGCUCAUAUUUGGCACAUAUCUCGCAUAACUUGGGUAUUUAGGCGCCCCCUGUACUAGUGUCCAUCUCAGGAAUUGGCAACAUAGUGACUCCACUAAGCUUCGACUCCAACUUUUGGACUCGAUCAACCUUUCCAUCCUUUAGAACAUUUAAGACAUAUAUGAAAUGCCAUUACAUUCCAUGGUUGCAUUUACUCACCUCGGCCUACUAGUAUUAACAUUAUCUACGAUUUCUCUCUUUUGACCCAUACGUUCAGGGUACCUACUCAAAAGGAGGCCGCUAUGUCAUGGUGGAUGUAUCUCCCAUCACACAUCGGUGCAACCUUGUAAUUCUUUCCACGUAUUGGCUACUGUGAGUAAUAUUCAGUUGGGGGUUCUCCCGUUUGAUUGUUCAAAAUAAGUAGCUAACUAGCUACUAGCAUGUUGAUGAUUCAUGAGUACUACUCUAGUAUAAAUUUAUUAUAUACCUUGGAAGCCGUGUUGGUUCUGGUGACGGUGCGGGUGGUGAUGGAUGGGUUGGAUGUCAGCUUCUUGUUGCUCUCGAGCCUAUACUCAUGCAUGAUCCAAUUGGUCUUCUCCCCCCUAGGCGCCCGGCCCUUGUAGAAGACAAGUGUCUUCUUCAUGCCGAUGAGUGUGAAAGGUGGCUGGAAGAUCUCCUUGUCCUUUCCGGUGGCCUUCCAAUAGCCGGCCUCCGUCGCCCGGUUCGUUCGUAUCCCAGUGGGGUACUUGCGAUCCUUUCGGGAGUAAAAGUACCACUCUUUCUCCCCCAUCUUCGCCUUCUCUGGUAGCUCCCAUGGCUCGUACUUGUUGAGGUUUACAUCCUCAAUCGCCGCGACAACGAAGGCUUCAUCGAGCACCUUGGGGACCACAUAGAAUUUGAUGAUCUCCUCAUCCGUCGGGUGGAACCUAAACCCCGGCGGUAGUACCAACUGUUUCUGCUGAAUUUGAAGGUGGUCUGCCAUGGUGGAGGCUUUAUGUGCAAUGGAUUCUGGGGUGAUGGUAAUAUUGGACGCAACCAUAAAUAUGAGUAUGGAAGAAAUUAAUGAGCUAGGGAUAUCCAUGGAGACGCUUAAAUAGGAGUUAAUGCGUGUAGUUGCAAGGCGCUUGCAAGAGAAGCCUCAACGUUUCCAGACCUUUAUUUAUUUUGUAUCUAGUGGCACUGGCUAUGGAUGGAUAGAUAGAUAGAUACUUUCCCCAUCUUUACAACUAUGCGUUGUUUGUCGUGUUGGAGGAGCCACACACUUGUGGUGACAGGUAGAAAGGUUUCUCGAACCUAUCCAAGCGAUGACAUGCCAGAUUACAUACGUGGCAUUCGUGCUAGCCCUACUCGUGCCAUAUGCAUGCUUCUCUUGUCGGUGUUUGCCUUUGUGAUGCAAACCAAUCAAACACUCACAUUUGUCGCACUAGCUGGUUGCGCAUAUAUAACAUUGCCCACUGUUUCGUGUGAUGAUUGAUAUAGAUGUAUCUAGCUAUAAAUAUUGUAUAGCCCCUACCACAGGUUUACACAAAAUAUGUGUGCUUUGUGGAAGUCUCUAGCCACUAGAUUGACUGGUACACCCAGCCACGGUUUGCUUAAUUGAUAAUCCUCCAUGCUAUGGUGCCUACAGGUGUCAGCCACAACUAGGGUCACAUUGCUCCUGCAGGCGCGUGGCCAUGACCGAUCUCUACCUUCUGCUGCCUAAAACCAUGGCCUUUUGGAUCAAUUACAACUAGGAGAGGGGAAGGGCACUAGUUGUGGCUGAAUUCCCGCAUGUAUAGAUAGCACCGAUACGGUUCAUGCUUUACAUGCUGAUACGUCUCCGUCGUAUCUACUUUUCCAAACACUUUUGCCCUUGUUUUGGACUCUAACUUGCAUGAUUUGAAUGGAACUAACCCGGACUGACGCUGUUUUCAGCAGACUUUCCAUGGUGUUAUUUAUGUGCAGAAACAAAAGUUCUCGGAAUGACCUGAAACUCCCCGGAACAUCUAUUUGAAAAAUAAGAAAAAUACUGGAAGAAAAAUCCACGUCAGGGGGCCCACACCCUGUCCACGAGGGUGAGGGGCGCGCCUACCCCCCUAGGGCGCGCCCCCUGCCUCGUGGGCCCCCUGACGCUCCACCGACCUCAACUCCAAGUCCAUAUAUUCACUUUCGGGGAGAAAAAAAUCAGAGAGAAGGAUUCAUCGCGUUUACGAUAUGGAGCCGCCGCCAAGCCCUAAAACCUCUCGGGAGGGCCGAUCUGGAGUCCGUUCGAGGCUCCGGAGAGGGGAAUCCAUCGCCGUCGUCGUCAUCAACCAUCCUCCAUCACCAAUUUCAUGAUGCUCACCGCCGUGCGUGAGUAAUUCCAUCAUAGGCUUGCUGGACGGUGAUGGGUUGGAUGAGAUCUAUCAUGUAAUCGAGUUAGUUUUGUUAGGGUUUGAUCCCUAGUAUCCACUAUGUUCUGAGAUUGAUGUUGCUAUGACUUUGCUAUGCUUAAUGCUUGUCACUAGGGCCCGAGUGCCAUGAUUUCAGAUCUGAACCUAUUAUGUUUUCAUGAAUAUAUGUGAGUUCUUGAUCCUAUUUUGCAAGUCUAUAGUCACCUACUUUGUGUUAUGAUCCGGCAACCCCGAAGUGACAAUAAUCGGGACCACUCCCGGUGAUGACCAUAGUUUGAGGAGUUCAUGUAUUCACUAUGUGUUAAUGCUUUGUUCCGGUACUCUAUUAAAAGGAGGCCUUAAUAUCCCUUAGUUUCCAUUAGGACCCCGCUUCCACGGGAGGGUAGGACAAACGAUGUCAUGCAAGUUCUUUUCCAUAAGCACGUAUGACUAUAUUCGGAAUACAUGCCUACAUUACAUUGAUGAAUUGGAGCUAGUUCUGUGUCACCCUAUGUUAUGACUGUUACAUGAUGAACCGCAUCCGGCAUAAUUCUCCAUCACCGAUCCAAUGCCUACAAGCUUUUCACAUAUUGUUCUUCGCUUAUUUACUUUUCCGUUGCUACUGUUACAAUCACUACAAAAUACCAAAAAUGUUACUUUUGCUACCGUUACCGUUACUUCCAUAUUACUUUGCUACUAAAUACUUUGCUGCAGAUACUAAGUUAUCCAGGUGUGGUUGAAUUGACAACUCAACUACUAAUACUUGAGAAUAUUCUUUGGCUCCCCUUGUGUCGAAUCAAUAAAUUUGGGUUGAAUACUCUACCCUCGAAAACUGUUGCGAUCCCCUAUACUUGUGGGUUAUCACACGCAUGCACACACAUACCUGCAGUAUGUAUACAUACACACAUCACUGGCAUUUCUCUACAGAUAAUCAUCCGUUGCAUGUCUUUUAUAUGCUUUCCAGGGUGUCGUGUACCGGUGCACACUGGCAUGUAUGCCACGCAUCAAAGCUUUCUCGUCUUCUUAAGAAAACAUAGUGCAGGAUAUAUGGAUCAACCCAACACUCAAGGUGUACAUGAUUAUGUGCUUAUCAAAUGCAUGCUUGUCCAUAUCCCAACCUUGCAUGCAUCUCCUCGUGCCCAGACUGUUUUUAAAAUUAUUUUAUACUAGUUGAAUGACAAUGCAUUGUCAAGAAACAAUGAAAAAAAUUAGAGAUACUUAUCAAACAAUUGUUAUAAUGUAAAAAUGUGUGUCAAACAUGAUGACAUGAACUUUGGGAUCUGUGAACUUUAUUACAGCUAGCGGAUCUUGGAAGUUCAUAAACACAUAUUGGGGUGACUAAUUAUCACGCUAGCAAGUUCUAUAUGUUUAAUUACAGUGAGCUUGCUGCCACGGUUUUGAAUUUAAUUUUCCAUAAACAAGCCUGCUCGUAUUUGUGCCUAAUUUUGACCAUAAAUUUUACCAUGAAAAUAUUAGAUGUGUCACAUCAGUGUUUUCUCACUCGAAUUUUCUGUUCUUAGGAAAUGGUAAUUUGUUUGUAGUUGGUACAAUUAUUUUUUCAGCUUUAAGCUAUAAAUACCUGACCGCCUACUUUCGCAUCUCUAAACAUGAAAUUGCACAUAAAAUUUGCAAUACGCAAUCAAUGGAAUGACCACGAGAGAAACUUAUAUACCUAAGAGAAUUAUCGCCACUACCUAAUUUAUCUUAACAUGCAGCCUAUCCACAUCACCACAUAUGCCACCCCAUCAAUUUAUCUCUAUGUUUUCCUUUCCACUAAGAUAGCAGUUCUAUUUCCAAGCAUAAUAGUCGAUCGAUCGCAUGCCCUCCCUCAUUCGAAAUCAAUUCUAGUUCCACCCUCUAAAACAUAUGGCACACUAUCCCAGCUGCAUCGCCUGAUCUUACCACUAAAUUUUCUCUCCACUUGACAGACCAAGGUCAAUACAUCUUAGCUUCCCACCUAUUCUUGAUUGAGUUGGAGCCGCCGUAAUCGAGCUUCCACAUGCAAAAUCAUUCCCAUGCCAAGAUGAACCUGGAUGUUGCGCCGUCAUGCUGCGGCUGGACAACAACACGCUGUGGUGCCCUGCAUCUGCUUUGCCCAGCUCGCUACCUCCCAUCAUCCACAUUAGUUUUGUCCAGCCGCUACACACCCCACCCCGCAUAAUUGCAGUACCACCAACGACCUUUUCUCCAGCAUGGAGCACAUCGAUCUGGUCGCUGUGGCAAGGGUUGGAAAGGAAGAAGGUGGGCUCUUUGCCUCUACCGAACUCCUUUCUUUACUCAUGUCUGUUAAGUUCAGUCAAUUAGACUAGAACGUCCUAGCAUCACAGGAACCUUGUGGGGUUCCAUUGCCAUGUGCAGGCUUAACACAUGUAUCCCGUCGGCAAUGUAAAUGACAUCCUGUAAUGCAUGUCUUUUAGCUAAUUCUAUUUCCCUAAAUUUUCUUUUACAUCAUCUAAUCUAAAGGUCGUUGGUAUUACUGAUAUAUUCCACUUGAUUUGAACUACUAACCAGUUAACCACUAUAUAUGCGGAUUGCAUAAUCUGUCAUGUUGCAAUUCAUUCAGAUUUUUAAAAUGGACUUUUUUAUAUAAGAUUUGAUUUACACUUCUAGAAGCAGUCCAUCGGUCAAUCUCACUACAUCCAUUAUACAUCGACCUGCCAAUAUUAUGUUGACUAAAUACGGCGGAAUGGAUGAAGGAAAAGUGUUUAUUUAAGUAUGAAAAAUGCAUCCCAGAUUACCCCUUCAAAGUCAGAAUCCUUUCCACAUCCAUGGUGAUGGGUCAUGCUAUUUUCAGGUUAUGCAACACGAUUUGGUUUUCUUCUCAUUUGCCUUAGACAAACGUUUGAUUGGUAACAUAUGUUUAUGUUUUUUUAUGGAUUUUCAGAAAUAGUAUUGAUGUAUAAUUACAUGAUGCCUAACAAGGGAUUGCCAAAUUUUGUGUAGGGUAUAAUUUGGUGGUAGCAUGAAUUUUGAACCCCCCCCCCCCCAUUAAAACUUUCCCUUUACUAUCUUUGUUGCAGGUGAUGCUACAUUACACUCAUCCAGAUGCAAUUCCUUUUCUCAGAAUUUGGAACUAUGUUGUUCCCGACAACUGUUAGCAUAAAACUUUGCAAAAAAAAAAAUUGGCAUCCAACAGAUUACAGUAUGGAUGCUCUUCCUGAUAGGUCACCAUAUAACAACAAAAGUUUUAAGGUAUAACUGACUCGUUCUUGCUGCCGCCCCAAGCUAUGCAUAUGAAUUGCACAUCUACAUUUGAUCCUGGUCUUGGCACAACUAGUGUUGGUGAGUCACGUGAUGAAUAUCAAUUCCCCAGUGCAUCAACAACGAUACUUUUGAUUCAUAUGGUUAUGCUUAGUUACAUUGACCUCUGUGCAUCUCCAUCAUUUCUAUGGGUAUGAUGCCAUGGCAAAAGUUACACGUAAUUGCAAGGUAGGGAAAAAUUAGUAUCAUUACAUUUUAUUUGAAAAAUUACUGAGCAUAAAUUAAUAAAUUAAUGGAAUGCAUGUACUGAUCUGCUUGGCUCCGGCAGAACCCAUUGGACUGUCUAUGGCAAUGUUUGACUUAAGUCCACAAGGUGAGUUUUACUGCAUCUGAUUUUUAUUUUUAAUUUAACCCUAAUAGGAAUGAUGAGCUUUCUAGCACCAACGCUACAUGAGAAAGGUCAUCAAGUGGAAUGGUUUGGACAUCAACUAACUAGAACAUGGGUCAUUUCAUACACAUGUUCAUCUUCUUUGCUAGUAAAAGUAACAAGCUACCGAUGUCACCAUAUUGUGCUUAUGUUAUUACCGUUUCUAUUUGUACGUUUUUUUCACUAUUUUAUAUUGAGAUAUGAUCUGUAAGAUACUCAUUGCUUUAGUUUCCAUCUGUAUUUCGCUAUUUGUAGACCACUAUGUUGCACGCUUCCACCCUGUAAAGUCUAUUUAUUUUGGUGUCGCCAACAUGCCAUUGGCAAAAAAAAGUCUGUUUGAAAGACCUUUGCCAACUAGACAUUUGAUGCCAAACAAUGUUGGUCGAAAAUGUCCUUUCUUUUCUGAUCGACUUUUUGUGGUAGAAAGUCUUUUUCCCUACCAACAUAUAUGUAGGGAUCCUAUGUAAUAGUGUAGUGCAACGUAACUCACUGCUAUUAGUCAUAACUAGCUUCAUUACACACCUCAAGCUAGCUUUUCAUUUAGAGAUGAAGUGCCAAAUAUUAUGAAUCAGAUUGUGAUACGUCUCCAACGUAUCUAUAAUUUUUGAUUGCUCCAUGCUAUUAUAUAUUCUGUUUUGGAUGUUUAAUGGGUUUUAUUAUACACUUUUAUAUUAUUUUUGGGACUAACCUAUUAACCCAAGGCCCAGUGCAAAUUGCUGUUUUUUGCCUAUUUCUGUUUCGCAGAAAAGGAAUAUCAAACGGAGUCCAAACGGAACGAAACCUUCGGGAGCGUGAUUUUUGGAACAAACGUGAUCCAGAGGACUUGGAGUGGACGUCAAGAAACGAACGAGGAGGCCACGAGGCAGGGGGCGCGCCCUCCACCCUCGUGGGCCCCUCGUGGCUCCACCGACCUACUUCUUCCUCCUAUAUAUACCUACGUGCCCAGAAACCAUCGAGGAGCACCACGAAAACCUAAUUCCACCACCGCAACCUUCUAUACCCGUGAGAUCCCAUCUUGGGGCGUUUUCCGGCGCUCCGCCAGAGGGGGAAUCGAUCACGGAGGGCUUCUACAUCAACACCAUGGCCUCUCCGAUGAUGUGUGAGUAGUUUACCACAGAACUUCGGGUCCAUAGUUAUUAGCUAGAUGGCUUCUUCUCUCUCUUUGGAUCUCAAUACAAAGUUCUCCUCGAUCUUCUUGGAGAUCUAUUCGAUGUAACUCUUUUUGCGGUGUGUUUGUCGAGAUCCGAUGAAUUGUGGGUUUAUGAUCAAGAUUAUCUAUGAACAAUAUUUGAAUCUUCUCUGAAUUCUUUUAUGUAUGAUUGGUUAUCUUUGCAAGUCUCUUGGAAUUAUCAGUUUGGUUUGGCCUACUAGAUUGAUCUUUCUUGCAAUGGGAGAAGUGCUUAGCUUUGGGUUCAAUCAUGCGGUGCUCGAUCCCAGUGACAGUAGGGGAAAGACACGUAUUGUAUUGUUGCCAUCGAGGAAAAAAGAUGGGGUUUAUAUCAUAUUUCUUGAGUUUAUCCCUCUACAUCAUGUCAUCUUACCUAAUGCGUUACUCUGUUCUUAUGAACUUAAUACUCUAGAUGCAUGCUGGAUAGCGGUCGAUGUGUGAAGUAAUAGUAGUAGAUGCAGGCAGGAGUCGGUCUACUUGUCACAGAUGUGAUGCCUAUAUACAUGAUCAUGCCUAGAUAUUCUCAUAAUUAUGCACUUUUCUAUCAAUUGCUCGACAGUAAUUUUUCACCCACCGUAAUACUUAUGCUAUCUUGAGAGAAGCCACUAGUGAAACCUAUGGCCCCCGGGUCUAUUUUCCAUCAUAUUAAUCUCCCGUCAACAAGCUAUUUCUAUCGCCGUUUAUUUUGCUGCAUCACCCUUUCCUCUUCAAGGGAAAACCAACGCAUGCUCAAGAGGUAGCAGAUUGUUAUCAAGUUCAUGUAAGGCUGGAAUUGGAGAACUAGACACCUUGGGAGUGUCUUGAGAACGAUUUCUAUCCUUAAGCUUUAGCUAGACUUAUAUGCGCGUUCGUGUACGCCUAUUCGUGCAACCAAGGCCGUCUCAAUUGCUCAUGCGGAAGACAUAAAAGAAUGCAAAGCGGCAUGAUGGCUACUCGUGUGGUGAAGAUGGUUAGGGUUCUGGGAUACUAGGCGAGCAAAACCAAUGAGAUCAACAACUUGAAAUUCUGACGACGAGUAAGUGAUAUGCCAAAACUUAUCUACUUUUCCAAUCAUUUUUCUUAUACUUACUCGUCUAAUUUUAUAUUGAUGUGCCAAAACUUGAAAUCCUGUUUUAUUUGAAGAUUUUUAAUCAAAUUUUAUAUUGGUGUAGUUUUCAUGUGUGCGAACGUGUUUUUUGACUAUGCGCCAAAAGGAAAGCUUAGUUGUAUAUUAGUUUUCAUUGGACUCAUGUAACAUGGGAGGAUUGGGCAACAUAUGUUAUGCAAUUUCCCAUAAAUAAGCAUGUUCAACUACAUAUGGAGUACAUGCAUAUAAAAGUAAAGAGAACAUGAUCUAGGAUUACAUAAUUUCUUGUAUCCCAUAUGUAUGACUGAUGCCAUGCAUCCAUGUAACUCCCAAAUUUCCAUUCUCACACCUAUGUUUAUAAUGUUGAUGAUCUCCUUCAAUACAUGUUAUUUGUAGUUGUCAGGUAAUUAGUAGUCUUAUUUACUUUUCUGCAACCAACAACACUCAAAAUCAUGUCACUAUGAUAGCACUAAUAAUUUUUCUUAAAUAAAUAUUCGUUUCAUGUGUGGUUCAAAAUAAUAUAUUAGCUACUAAAUACUUAUUAUUUUUCUUUCUCUCCGACAGCGAUAAAUACAAAUUAGAGUUGCAAUACUUCCCAAUGCGACUAUUGCGACCCCGUGCACUUGUUGGAUAUCUGCAAAGCACUACAACAAGAUUUUCAUGCCAAUGCUGAGUUGUGGGGUGAAGCUAAAAAUAUCAAUGGUGUCAAUCUUUUAAAUUGAUUGGUGUUAUUAACUUUUUCUUAAAAUCCUUAUGUGGAAACAUAUGAUUAACAAUCACGAAUGGUCAUAUUUGACCUCCAAACAAAAACGAAUAGUUUGCACUUCUAAGUGCAUACCAACUCGCAAAACUAGAAGUAAUUUUGAGAAAUUAGAUGGGAAAGAAAUAUUUAAAAAAUUGGAGUACAUGAUUACAAUGUCUUGUGGAUUGCCCUUUAUGCCAUUUGUUUUAUAAUUUUCACAUUCCAGAGAGAGAGAGAGAGAGAGAGAGAGAGAUGGAGCACAACAUAAUUUUGUACUUAUUUGCAUUUCAUGGUUGCAACAAGUGACAAGGAAAGAAUGUUAGGGUUAUGGUAGUGGUGUGAGGGGAAUGUGCACAUGGUAGUGCGGUGUGCCUAGUCUUGGCUUCUCCCACUUUGCUUUCAUGUUAUAAUUUGGUUAGCCUUUAUAUCUUCCUUUACAUUUAUGUUUUCCUAGCUUAGUUUAUCUAACCGUUUGCUGCACCAAUAGAAGAUAUCACAAGUUUACUAAUUUUUAAACUCUAGUUUGGAUGCGAAUGCGACUCGAGACCAUGACAACUCUACUUGGGUAUGAGGGAAUGACUAACCUUAACUCAUACGGUUUAACAAAUACCUAGUUAAUGCUUAUGUGAAAGGUACCAUCGUUAUCCAUGCACUAGCGGUUGUCAAGGUACUUUUCUGGCACUGUUGCCAGGGCUCUUAGCCCUUAGAUGUUUCCUCUGAACUCACACUUAGUUUAGUGUAUUUUUAAUAUUCUAUCUCUAACCCCCUAACAAAACAAUUACCAAAAAUAUUUGAUGUCGAUAUGCCUUUUUAGGAAUAACAAAUGCUACAAAGGAUGAAGGAAUAGCCACGAGUACACCAAUCAAGUCUGACUAUGAUGCAAAGACAAUUGAACGAACAUAUUGGGUGAAUGAGUACUUAUCCAUGUUACGUGUCUCAUAUCCAUUGUCUUGAGGGAAUUGUGGAUCUGGUGAACACAUGAACUAUCAAUGUAAGUAUGGGUUUGAUCCAUAAUAGAAACCUAUAACUCUUGCGAUAAAAACAAUGCUAGUAUGGAGGUCAUAGAAUUCAUAAUUUUCACGGUUGCAAGUGAGAUGCUACAUCCAAUAAUAAAGAUUAACAUAGAAACCAUCUUACUUGACAGGAUUAACAUGGUAGUACAACCCAUCCAUGAGUUUUGCUUGGAUAAUAUUUGUGAGAAGUCAUUAAUGCUCAACAUUUGUGUCGGUAUAUUGAGUUGUGGGAAGAAGCUUAAAAAAUAUUGAUGUUGUCAAUUUUUUUAAAAUUGACUGGUGUCAAUACAUUUUUUUGAGAGCACUAUGUUAAGUUGAAGAGGGUGAGCACUAAAUCCUUGGUAUCAUGUGACACACGGGUUGGAUGAGUCUUUCUAACUGAAACCGGCAGAUGGAACUUCCUAAGUGUAAACCAAAUCUUAAAAUUCAAGGUAUGUUCGAGCAAUUAGAUGGGAAAGGGGUAUUCAAAAAUUCAAAGUGCUUGACUAUGAUGCCUUGUUGAAUGCAUUUGAUGGCAUUUAAAAAAAAUCAAUCUGUUUUUAUCAGCAACCAAAUUUUGUAAUUCGUCCAUCUCCACUGCAUUUCAACUAGGAGAGAGAGUGAGAGAGAAAGAGAGAGUGCGCGACCUCACUUUUUACUUAUUUGACACAAGUUCUUAUUUAUUUACAUAAAAUAAGUGAGGUUCUUCUCUUACUUUUUAUUAAGGCAGCUGGCAUAUUAUUUACUACUUUAUUACUAUAUAAGACAGCCAUUAAGUCUAGUCUUAUUUUUAUUUUAUUUUAUUAAGCCAGGACGGCUACUCUUUCUACACUAAAUUUAUUCUGUUUUAUUAAGCCAACAAGCCUACUUCUGCUACCCUAAAUUUAUUUUAUUUGACUAUAAGCCGGCAGGCCUACUACUCUUUCUACCCUAAAUUUAUUUUUAUUGUACUUAUUAAGCCGGCAAGGUAAUACUAAUGAGUACUAGUAAUUUAUUCUGGAGUGCAUGCAUGGAUAGUCGAAAUUCGGAGUGGAAGUUGGUUGGUGCUUCAUUCACUCGCGGCCAAAGUCAAAGGUGCCGCUUGCUUUGGGGUGUCAGAUACCGGAGCAAAAGGUGCAAUUGUUUGUUGACCAAGCUGCAUGCAAAGUUGCAAAUAACCAAGCGUGUCAAUAUAUAUGCAUACUCAAUAUGUAUGGGCGCGCAAAGAGAGAAAGAACUAGGAUUACGUACUGGAUGGUCCUCCUAGCAUGACACAGUGCUGCACCGACUUUGGGGGGCCGUCGCCGAGGACCUCGGCGAAGAAGAGUCGUGUCCCGUGGGACCCCGCGACGGCCCUGAAGUUGACAUGGAAGCAGAGCCGGUUGUCGCCGGCGUCCACCCACCGGCAGGAGAAGGCGUGGCUGUCCACCGGGUCCAGAUCCGUGAGAUCAACACCCUACGUAGCGUAAUCAUUCAGCCAAGAUUGAUCAUCAGUACGUAACCUAAGAUGGGAGCAAAGAAGAAGAAGAAGAAGAAGGAGAUGGAGUAAGUAAUGCAGAAUACAUGAUUUUCGCUGUAGUGCUGGGCUGCGAGCCUGGUGCAGCGCUCCGUCUGGCUCUCACCUCUAGACGCCAUUACCUAAGCUAGCUAGCUAGCUGGUGUGGUUUAGUGCAGUUGCUUGUGAUGCGAGAUGGAUCAGUGCAACAAGUAUGUAUAUAUGGCCAUACAGGUGAGGUGAAGGUGAAUUGACCCAUCAUCACGAGUGUAUGAUCGACCGAGGUGCAUUCGAUUUGUGUGAAUUUUUUUUCACCUAUCAUCAUGCAAGCUAUGUUAAUGUGUUAGCCCGUCAAGACAGAAGCAAUAUGCAUGUCCAAGCAUGCGUCGCUGAUGCCCGCCGGUCAGCCACGCUUCAGCGCUCAUGCGAUCAUGCUGCUACCUCUCAAGAGCAUGAUCCGUCAUGCCCCCAGCAUUGAUCCACAUGCAUGUGUGUGUGUGUCUGUGUGUGCGCGCGCGCGUGUGUGUUUGAGAGCAACCCAUGCAGUGAAACUGUUAUUGUAGGACGCAACGAAUAAGUUUGCCCCCAAAUUAUUAUUACUCCUUCCGUAUCUAGAGAAAUCUAAGACAAGUAAUAUGGAUCGAAGGAAUUAUUACUACUACUACUACUACUACUACUACUACUAUUUUAUUUUUUAUAUGUUGUUCUCGUUGGUGGUGGUGUUGUAGUAGCAAUUGUUGUUAUUGUUCUUCUUGCUGCUGCUACAACUACAGGAAAGUCGUUUGGUGCGCAAGCUCCAUAGAGCUUGGUUGUUUCGAAAUGUUAAAGAACCACAUCUAAUUUUUUAUAAAAUUCUGGAAACAAUUACACACUGACGUAUAGAUGUUCAAUACAUGUGUGAAAAUAUUCAUGCGAAAAUACAGUGACACAUGAGCUACACAAAAAAGUGAAAAUUGUUGGGGGAUUUUUGUAGUGAGAAGUACAUCGCAAUUUGGCAUUCUUGUGCAUGUCACAUGUCAUUGUAUUUUCUGAUUACAACUUUCACACAUUUAGUAUAUAUCCAUAUGUGAAUGCGUAUUUUUCAGAAUUGUUUAAAACUUUGAAAUGUAAUUUUUCAAUCAAAAGGCUGCACUCACCACUACUAUUAUCACCACCAGAGUACAGAUUUUUUGGCUGACAAGCACCUUGGGUCUCGGUAUCCCGAGCAUUGUUAUCUGCCUCAUGAUGGGCCACUCAAGAAUUUCCUCAGUACACUCAGCGCAGGAUACAAAACCGAAUUCAUGGGCCGGUGGAUGGCUUCAAAUGCUUUAUACUAUUAAGUUGAUUUAGUAUUAUUUAAUGUCUGCUAAUAAUCAUGCAAAAUCCUAUUUGCCGCUCGUUGGAGCGUUUGUCGCCGGAAUGCACAUGCGAGCGAACCAGCAAGAGUAAGUGAGCCGGCUCAUUUAAGGGUAGACAAAGGCAUUCCAGUUCCAGUUACCCAUUUGGAAACCUUCUAGUAGGUUCCUAAACAUUUUUUUUGUUUAUUUCAUAAUUCAUUUAUUGUUUUAUUUUUUAUGUUUCUUUUUUUAUUUAAUUUAUUUUUUCGAAUUUCACAACUUUAAAUGUUUUUACAACUUCUAAAUGUUCACAUUAAAAAAAUCAUUUUCAAAAACUGUUUGAAAUUUGAAGAAAUGUUCGUGUUUUCAAACAACAUCCAAAAUUUGGAAAUUGUUCAAAAAAUUCAAAAUAAUCGGGUUUCAAAGAAUUUCAAAUUUUCAAAAAUUCAUCACGUUUUCAUUUUUUGUGUUUUAAAAAAUGUUCACGCAUUCAUAAAAUGUUCGCAUUUUCGAUUUUUUUAAUUUUCAAGAAAACUUCGAAAUUUCAAAACAAUGUGUUUCUAAAAAAUGUUAAUAAUUUUUUAUAAAAUAUUUAAAUUUUGAGAAAAAUCCAUGUUUUGAAAAUUCUUUGCUAUAGGCCAUUUCACUAGAGUGGGGCGCCCAGGAACUUCCAAUAAUCAGUGCCUCUAACUUCAAAUCUCUGCUUGGUUUUCUAAUGUGACGAGGAUUCCUUCACAUUAGUGCUUUUAUAUCUGAAAAACACAUGUGUUUGUGUACAAGCAUCAUUGACAUAUCCUAAGCAUAGUUUAUACAAACUUAAUUUUGAAAUAGGAGACAUGGGAGAAGAUGCGACUGUUCUGCACCUGCGCUCAGAUGAGCCAGGGUGUGAAUAGUAAAUUUGUUUUAAAUCACAAAAAGAAUCAAAAAAAUAUCCAAAAAUAAUUGUGGUGCGAGCUGCUCAUGUGCAUGAUGCUUGUGCAAAAUUUGGUGAAGUUGGAACUUCGAGGAGCUGGUGGCAAAAAUAGAAAUUUUGGGUCUCUGAGAAACUUCUGAAAAUAAAAUUGUUCACAUCCUAUUUUGUCUUUUUUCCCGUGAGCUCCUUUAAUGUCCAAACACCCGAAAAUUUGCACAAACAUCACGCAUUUGAGCAUCUUGCACCACAGCAAAAUAGCAGAUCUUUCGAAUUUUUUUGCUAUUUUUUACUGUUCACCGGGUGUAGACGCCCCAACACGCAUUGAAUUAUCGAGAGGGAGAUAACAUCUCAGUAUCAAUGAAGAGGGUCAUACUUUGUACCAUCGACCCAUAUGGAUAUCUAGCCCUCCUUUCAGACAUAAAUUUUCCAAAAAACACAAAGUAUGAAUCCAUGAGAAAAUACAACAAUAAAUAGACCAAUUGAACGGUCAUGAUGUGCAUAACUAGUACUACUACUGUUGCUACUUCUGCUGCUACUGCUAUUCCUACUACUACUCAUAAUGCUACUCCUACUGCUACCACUACCGCUAUUGCUACUGUUGUCGCCGCUGCCACUGCUACUAACUUUAGUUUUGCUGAAACACGUAGUUGUACAUGGGAUGAUCCAUCUAAAUGGCCAGAAUACCAUUGGUUUAUUUUCAACUACACCUAACCCAUCGGUGCUUCCCUCGCUUUUCCUUCAUUUUCUAUGUGUUCCCUCGGUCGUCCUCGUCUCCAUUGUCCACCUCAGAACACCCCUCUACUUUCUCUCUCGGAAGGAAGGGGGAGGGUCUUUCCUCGCACCUUGUUUGUAGUUAGUUAUUUUGCUUCCGCCUUUGUGAUGUAUGCCUCCAUGGUUUAACCCUGGAUUUUGGCUGUUAGGUGGCCCCUCAUCUAUGCCUACAUGGAAACGUUGGUCCUGGUGUGCGGGUCCCACCAAUCAGAUUCAUUGUUAAAACGAACUAAUCUGUGUUUUGAUGCUAUGUGUCACUACUCACUACCCUACUUACUAUAGUGAUGGAUUUUUUAUGAAAAAUAUGGCAAAGUAGCAGGUUUGUGAUGACAUGGUCAUAAAUAUUGGUUUUGUGUAACUUACGCACGUGUCCUAGAUUGUACCAUGAGGCCAUAGGCAAAACCUGGAUGUUGGUAUUUCUGUGGGAACCGAUGCCAUAUCCAAAGCAUCCCAAGCUCCUCUCCACAAUCUGAAGAGCUCCCCCAUCCCUAAAUCUCUUUUUUUCAGGUGCCAUCGUCCCUAAAUCUAGCUUCGAUGUCGUGUGUCAUGGCCUGCACCCACACCUAAAUCAACGUGUCCACAUCUGUAGCAUCCGCACUCAAGGUAGCACAUCAGACCGCAAGGCACCGCAAUCCCCAUGGACAAAUUAAUUUCGCGUUGAUCCAACAUGUAGCAUCUAGAACAGCAUGAAGGAACACAACGACCAACGUCCUGCUCAGGGUGUAGGGGCUGUUGAAAUUGCGGUGCACGAGAGGCUUCAAGUUGCGUGCAAGGCAACGACCGUAGCAAGGGGGAUUGCUAGGGCAGAGGUGCACCGGCGAUGGCGAUGAAUGGGGGAUGGCAGAGGCAGCAAGGUGGAGGCGGCGGCCCAAAGAUGGAAGAGAGUGGGGAACAAUGCGGCAUGAACCAACCGCCUUUGCCUCUAUGUCGCUGUCCUCAUCCUUCUCACCACCACGGCCCGAGCGUGCGCCGUAGUGGCCAGGCGGGACAACAAGAUGAUGGGACAGUGAGGAGAUAAUGGUUGCGAGAGGGAGAGAAGAGAAAGAGGCGAGCAGAAGAAGGAGAGUGGAAGGGUUCUCGCAAGGAAAGAAACAGCAAUGGCUGGUCGGAUCCAUCUAAAGAGGAAAUAAAUUACACAAGUAUCAAAAAAUUAAAAUAAUUGUUACAAAGCAGAAAUUAAAUUCAGCGCAACACUCAAGUAUUUUUCAAUGAUAUACAUUACAACAUAUAACAAAUAAUUCAAUAAUAUUAUCAAAUAUGCAAAAUAAGCAAUGAAAAAUUAUUUAAGUAUAAAAUUUUAAUAUAAAAUAUGUAUAUAUCAAAAGGAGCGGGACAAUAGGGGAAAAUUAAAUUGUGAAUCGAAAUAAAAUUUAGAUUGUUGUACACCCAAAAUUGAAAUACUGACUCCGUCAUUAAAGUCAAUGAUUUUUAAACUACUUGUAUGGGAGAAACUAGACGGAUGAAGUAAUUAGGGAUUAAAUGAGCUAUGUUGUAGUGCAUGGCUGCAAGCCUAGUGCAGACGUGCAUCUGGCUGUCAUCAUGGGGGGCAUCGACGAGGAUCUCCGCGAAGAAGAACCUUACCUCGUGGUGCCCAGAUUCCGGUCUGAAGUUGACGUGGAAACAGAGGCGGACAUCGCCGGUGGCAUCCACCCAGCGGUAGGAGAAGGCGUGGUUGUUCACCGGAUCCAAAUCCUUGAGAACAACACCCUGCGGAUGGAUGUAGGACGUACGUAGUUAAGAUCAGUCAUGGACGGAACUAGUUGAGGACGUGCGUGUACAAAUGUGCACCCCUGAUUUCUUUUCAAAAACAAGUAUAUAGGUACAUCGUUAAACCGUAUGGUUUAAAAAGUCUUUUGUUAUAUUUGUACAUUAUUUAUCUCUCACAUAUGGUUUAUUAAAUAUAUUGUUAAAUUUGCACACGGGUGCUCCAAAAACAAGUAUAUUAUACUCUAGAAUUUUCUAUAGAUAUAUUUUCUUAAUCAUAUAAUAGAAGCACUAUUAUAAUAUUUGUGAAACCAUAUGUUUACAGAUAUCUAAUAUAUUUAUGUAUAAACUACAUAAAUUACACAAGUAUCAAAAAAAUUAGAAAAAAUUCUUACAAAAAAAUAUUUAAAUUCGGCACAACACUUAAUUAUUUUUCAAUGAUAUACAUUAAAACAUAUAACAAAUAAUUAAAUAAUAUUGUCAAAUAUGCCAAAUAAGUAAUUCUAAACUAGUGCAGACGUGCAUCUGGCUAUUAUCGUGGUAUAUGUAGUACUCCUCCCUGAUCUGCUACAAGUGGUUCUUCGCCCUCCAGUCCGUGUACCGGUUGACAAACAGCCUCCACAGGUCAUCGCUAUAGUCGCCUCCAGCCACCAUUAUCUUUCUCGCCGAUAACACUGUAAGUGGCUCUAAGAACAUUGGAUGCACAUGCGCAGUCCGCUAUAUUUGUUGAACAACCAGUCUAUACUACUGAUAUUUAUGAUACAAGAAAUUGGGAUAAUCUUUGAUAAUAAAGCAAGACAUAUCUUAGUUGAGAAUGGAAGAGGUCAAAAAAAAUGGAAUACAAUGUAGACAAUGCAGGAAGAUAUUUAUCAUAUCUCACUAUCAUAGGAAAUUAAGCAAGGGAGAGAAACAUGAUAGAAAAUGGCUUGUUUAUUCACAUGAUGCUGACAAACUUUUUUUGCUUUUUCCGAAAGAUCUUCAACUCUAGCAUUAGUAGGAGUCAGAAUUCCUUAGCACGUAUAGUGGAUUAAGAUAUUGGACGCAUAUAAGUAAGAAGUUUAAAGAACAUGAUAAUAUCAUCUAUAUAUAUAUCAUAUAUACAUAUGUUCUUAUUGUGAUGUCUAUAUUAAGGCCCCAAGUUUUAGUCUCGCCCCGGGCCCCCAAAAUCUCAGGACCGGCCCUGUGCAUUAAGCUUGCAUUUGCGCAGGCAGCACACGUCUUAGCCCGCCCAUUCUACAAGCGCUUGAAGAAUAUUGUUCUACGAGCGCUUUGGAACUAGUACAACAUAGACACAUCCUAACUGCAUUGAUUACAGAUAAAAAUGCACUCAUUUUCUGGUACUGUUUUUGAGACAAUUUUUCAACCAUUUGUUGGGGCAAGGCUUGUGAUACACCAUUGAAAAAUUAUAGAUUAGACGAAACUUUUUCAUAUAGAACAGCUUUUGAAAUUCCUUACAGUUUAGGAGUCGUUUUGAAAACCAUGCAGCACCCGUCGAGCGGCAGCGACCGUAUUUUCUUGAAAAUUUUCAAACCAGUCGUUGGAACGAUGCUCUCUAACUUUUUCAUGUAGAGCACGCUCUCUAACUUUGAGCAAUUUCAAAUGUACCAAAAUACGAACACUGUUAUGUGUACUUGAAGAGCAUCAUUACGAUGACUGGCAACCUGAAGCGGCCAGAGGACUAGGCGCAUAAGGGCGCGGACACUGCCAAUGCACAACUUGCACAAGCAGUCGGCUGACCCAUCAUAAUUAUCACUUGAGAAGAAGCAGACGGGCAGAGCCCACAUUUUAGUUAGCCCAAGACGUCAAGAAGGUUUUUGUUCCCCAGACUAAUGCCUCCAAGACAGCCCAGGUCGGUACUGACCUACAUGAAAAAUAGGAACUUGCCAGUCAUUGUAAUGAUGCCCUUAAACGCAACAGGAUAAUUCUAUUCAUUUCCUCUCGGGUUUGAUUGCCCAAAGAGGAAUAAGGGAGCACGUUCUUUUCAUAAAUGCUACCCUAAUAAAAAAAUUGAUAGGGAAUGGGCCCUCAAGUAUAUAUGCCGUCAACAUGUUGAUUGAUACACACCAUGAAUAAUUAUUUCUAUUACCAUAUUAUCAGAAGUAAGUUAAUUAUACAACCACUUAUACAUUGAUUGUGUUUGAAUAUUCAACAUAGUUGUAACUUCGUGCUUUUCAUAAUUUGUAGGAAAACUUGGAUCUUGAUUGUCAUUGUUCCAAAGCGCAAGAAAGUCUACUACCUAGAUUAUCUCCUUUCACAAAAUAAGAUCCUCUGGAUCUGUCAUAUAUCCAGAAACUCUCUGAUAUGUAUUGAAUUCAUUGAUGAUAAAAUUUGUAUUCAUAUAUGUUUCCAAAAUUGAGUAUGGAAAAAGUCAUCUUGAUCUGUAGUGCAUUUUCCUCAUACUUUCGUUGUGGAGGGAACCUUGACGAUAAGAUCCAACCUCUGGUGCAUAAUUCCAUUUUUCCGGUAAGAUACUGAAAUCCGUUAUGGUCAAAAAUUAUAUCCCAAAGUUCACAAAUACUCCCUCCACUUCUUUUUUACUUCACAUAUAAGAUUUGUCUGAAGUCAAACUCCGUAAUGUUUGACCAUGUUUAUAGAAAAAAAACAUUCACAAUACCAAAUCAAUAUUACUAUAUCCAUUAUGGAAUUAAUUUUUGUAUUUAUAACUUUAAUAUUGUAGAUGGUGGUAUUUCUUAAAUAUAAAUUUGAUCAAAGUUUACGAAGUUUGACUUCAGACAAAUCUCAUAUGCGGAGUAAAAAGAAACGGGGGAAGUACCUUGUCUUAUGUUAGUCAUGUGUUCGACUUGCUAAAUAAACACAUUCCUCGAUGUAUAUGUCUCAAAAAGAAAAAAAUAAACAGAUCAAGUUGUUCCUAAUAGGCACGUACUGUGAAGAAAUGUUGUACACAAAAUUCUAGUGUUCUCAGCAGUAAGAAGGGACCAAUAUUUAUGGAUUCUAUGUUUGCAAUCAAAUGAAUUCCUUAUGCUGAUUUGGUAUGCGUCUAGAUUCUGACAACCCAUUAGAAAUAGGUUUGUAUCUUAAUUACUUUAUUUUAGGGGCCAUUCGGAGGCCAUCCGCUCCGCGCCUCCACUCCCGGAGCGGACGGAGCUGCGGCUAGAAAAUUCAGAGCGGCCGAAACGAUACUCCCCAGCUCCGCGUAUUUUGAGGAGAUGGUGGAUCCCCGAACGGGCCCUUAGUCUACACGUACGACAUGGUCUUCAAAACAUGCAGCUCUUUAAAGCGAUGAGCUCUGCCCGGUGACGGCACCUCAGUUGCUAAAGAUCAAGGGAUUUAUCGGCACAACUCUUUGAAGAUAUUCCAAAUUUUAGCAAGCCUUUUGAAAAAAGGUAUGUUUUCAAUUAGUAUUUGACUUGUUUUCUGCUAAAUAUAUCUGCAUAGAUGUAUUGUUUCCAUGUGAUAUGAGAGGUCUACGCUCUUUCGUAGAUUAUGAUUUUUCAAUUAUUUUAUUUUAGUCACUGUUGCAUAUAUGUAGAUCUGUAAAAUUGAGCUAGAUAGAAUGCAGUAUUUUGCAUACUAUUGGUCGAUAUUGUGAUGAAUGUGCUUGUUGUGGACAAUACUUAUUGAAAUUCAUAUUCUCAGGAAUUUGCUUUUGCAGGGCCAAUUCAAAUCUUGUUACUUUCAAGCCCACUGGUUUUGUACAACGCACAUGGUUCUUGAAAUUGAGCAUGUGCAAUGCAAAGCAACAGACAUUAUCGAGAAUGAAACAGUGUGCGGUGUACAAGAAAAGCACGCGAAGAGAAUAGAACCGUGGGUGAUACACUAAUCAUCGCACAUGCUACGAAACCACUAUAUUCGUGUGUGACGAACCCCGCAUUCCAAUUGUUUUAAGUCGUGUACGAUAGCAACUCUCAUCCCACAUGUGAGCUUCAAACCUACGGUGUCCAGUGCCAAAUGUAAUCCCACUCGUAAAUUUGACAUGACCAAGCAUCUGAUUUCUUUUCCUAACAAAAAGCUCAUUUUGUUCGGCGCUACUCAAUACCCAUUUAUACAAGCAAUUAAAUAGAAAACUGAAAGAAAAAAAUGAAGCUUGUCCACAGAGAAGUGAAUCUCAAUGCAUAUCCAACAACUAAGCAUGGCUGACUAUAAUAUCUGGUACACACGUGUUGCAUGAAAAAUUAAUGCCUACGGCUCAACCAGUACUCCCUCCGUUUCAGUUUACAAGUCCUGCGCAUAUACCUAGGUUGCCAAUUUUAUCACCCUAAUAUAAACUAUAUAACAUAAAUAUUAUACCGUUUGAAAAUAGAACAUCUGAAGUUUAUAUUAGUAUAUUUUUUGUAAUAUAUGACUUGUAUUAGGUUGGUCAAAUUAACGACCUAGAGAUACGCGCACGCCCUAUAAACUGAGAGAGAGGUAGUACAAAAUAAAUUCUCACACAACGUUUUCUAUGACCACCCUCACACACGUGUUGCAUACUUGCAUGAUAAAUUAAUGCAUACGAACAUGCAUCGCAUAGUCUGUUGUAAACAAGAAUAUUUUCCUUGUCAUGAGAGACACCUUCAUCGCCCAAACCCCACCUAUAUACAUAUAAAUAAAAAUAACAUCAGCCAAUAGGUUUUUUGUUGUGGUGCAUUUGAGAAUAAAUAAAUAAAUGGAAUAUGUCCUAAACUUGGACUGGAACUAACCAACGCUUUCUUGUCCCUCCAAGGAAACUAUGCAUGUAGGCACAGUGCUCCAAGGAAACUAACAUAACGGUCUUCAUCAAGGUAUAGCUCUGCAAAGAAGAGCUCCUCUUUAGAGUUGUGCACGGUGCUUUUCGCUAGGAAGUUUAACGAUCGUGCCGCCGCUAGUGAUUGCUUUGAUGAUCUCAUACUUGAUCUACAUAUGCUUAAGCAAAAACAACCAGAAAUUAGUUUCCAGUUAAACAUCUAAACUGAAGAGAUGAGAGGUACACACAUUUGUGGUAUUACCACCCACCUUGUUCAUGUCUCGGGCAUUGUACUGGUCAAGCACAACGGUCGCAUAAUCAUUAGCUAGUUGUUCGUCGGUGUAAUAGUCGCAAUCAUCAUCAUCCUGGUAUAUAUCACCCUUGUCCAAAAAGUCAAUCUUUUCUAGUUCUUCAUCGAUCUCAAACUGGCUCAGACGGGGUGAUAGGUAGGGACGGGGUCCUUGCCGGCCAUGGCGGGUAGGGACGUGCCCAGUAGUGGGCGAGUGCCAAUUCAGUCCUGCAUCCAUGGAGUCCUAGAUUAAUUGGAAAAGAAUAUAUGUGUUUAGGAGAGAAUGGUGUUUUGGCUCUCGACCUCCAUGGAGGCCGAUUUUUUUUGAGAAAUUCAAAAUUUGAAAAUUUCGGUUUAAAAAAAAUGAAAAAAGUUGUACAAGUAAACAAGGAUGUGAGGCUUAUGUGUGUAAAAUUUCAUGAUGAAAUAAGUUGAGAUGUGACAUGUACAAAAAAGAUAAAUUCAUGGUCUGGGAGGAUGAAUAGAGUCAUGUGUUAGAAAGCCUCAAAUUUUUUUUUGCACAGGUCUAAUUUCAAUGUAUUUCGUCCUGAAAAUUUACACACUUGUGCACUAUGCUUCCAUCUAUCUAUGUAUUUUUCUUCAGAUUUUUAGGAAAUGUAAAAAAUAUGAAAUUUGAAGAAUUUUGAAUUUUGCAUUUGGAGGGCUCCAUGGAGCUCGGCCUCCAAAAGCAAUUUUGGUGUUUAGGAGUCUAUAUUGUUGUUUGGUGGAUGUAUAAUAUUAUAUACAUAGUGAAAUAAACCAAAAUUGUAGGUUUUAUUAAUUUACUCCAUCCAUGGAGCCGGUUAAUGGGCUGGCCCAGCGUUUAUUCCAAUCCACAAUGGGGGACUAACAAUGUUUUUCUUUUUUUAUAUUUUUUUUCAAAAUACUAAUUGCAUGUAUUUAGAAAAAUAUUAAGUUACUCCCUACGAUCCAUAUCAGUUGUCGCUGAAUCAGAUGUAUAUAGAUUAUUCGUCGCACAAUAAAAAUAUGUUCGUGCAGUAUAACAAAAAUCUUAGCUCAACUUUCAGAAAAUGCUUGUACCAUACAGAAAAAAUGUACGUGUCAUUUAAAAAUAUUCACACAUUUCACAAAUGUAAGUGCCAUUUUUGAAAAAUGUUCUACAAUAUAAAAAAUGUUUGCAUAAUUGUUUUGAAAAAUGUUCCUUACAACUCCAUUAAUUGUACAUUACAUUUUCUAAAAUGUUCACAGGUUUCGAAGUUAUGUUUGUGUCAUUCAAAAAAAAUGUUUAUACAAUACAAGGAAAUGUUUUGAUAUUUAAAAAUAAUGACAUCGAAACAUGUAUUACCACCCACCUUGAUCUUGUCUCGGGUGUUGCAAUGGUCGCACAACGGUUGCAUAACCAUUAGCUAGUUGUUCGUCGGUGUAAUAGUUGCAAUCAUGGUCAUCCUGGUAUAUAACACCCCUGUCCGAAAAAGUCAACCUUUUCUAAUUCUUUAUCGAUCCUAUAUAUACUACUUUAUCAUUUUAGAUAUGUUAAUAUACUAUAUAUAUAAGAUAAUUCAAAGUGGGUUAGAUGAAAAUUUUGCAAGUUUGCCCAUGGUUUUUAUUAUAUUCGUGAAAUAUGUACAUAUUUGUACGUAAAAAGAGCAUACUUAAAAUAUGAUACAUACUAUGUAAAAAGUAGUAUACAUAGUAUCUAAACAUUAUUAUAUACUACAUGUGUGUGUGUGUGUGUGUGUGAAAAAACGGCACAUCAAAACAUGUAUUUAGAAGAAAACAAAUGUUGAUCAUGUAUUGGAAAAAUGUUAGACGUGCACAAAAAACGUCACAUGCUGCAUGUAUCAAACUGAUGGUGUAGAACAUGUUGCUUCCUUGGACAUUACCACAAAAGUUCGCCCUCAAUUAGUGUGGAAUAAAAUUACUAGCACACAUUUAGAAGUGUAAGUAAUAGUUUAUUAGCACACAUUUCAAAGUCUAAAUAAGUGUUUAUGUCGUGCAUGGAACUCCCUCUAGGUCGGUGCACACCCAAAUUCAUUUCCAAAUAGUAUGCACCCAUGUGAUCAAAUUCACAUUAAUACAUUUAAUGGUAUAAUUAUAAUUGACCAAAAUAGUUUAUUCUAUAUGGGUUUAAAAGAUGCAUGAUGUACACCUGCUAGUAUUUUACAACACACGCAUAUGUAACUAGAUGAACCCUGGGGGUAGUGCAAGAGAGGAAUAUAUAGACACAAUUGAAAAAGUAGUAGAAGGGAGGAAUGCCAAGCCAUGUCAUGCACGCAAACUCUCUCAAGGUCACACUGAGAUGUAAAACACGAUGAAAACAAAUAUACUGGUUGGCAUAUAUCGACCUACUGUCUGAUGGAUGAUUAAUUUAUGCAUGCACACACAAACAUAUGUUGUCUUGGGUUAUCUGAUCAUCAAUACUUCUAAAUGUCAUCCAUACCCAAGUUCAUUGAUGAGAUGUCGCCAACUGCCGUUGCGGCAGCGUCCCCUGGGAAGUUGUUCGUCGGCCCGGUCACAACGUCCUCCUGAGACACUAUCGACGAUGGCCCAUUCACAGGCUCAGGCCCGACCAUGAAUCCUUGAUCUCAACCCAUAUGAAUCAUCAUCUGCUGAUGUUAUUGUUGUCGCUAAUGUCGGCGUUGGGGUGGCCAUCAUUUGGUGGUGGUGGUAUCUGAAGUUGUCAUUCAUCAUAGGAAGCGCCAAACUAACCAUCAUCGAUGAGCUAGACCCAACGUCGUGUAGCUAGUACCAAGAAACUCCGGGAAACAGUGGUGGAUGCACCAACGUUGACGACAUGUCAUAGUCCACGAGAGGAGGCAAUGUAUCUAAGUCGACAAAGCCUUCUAAUGGUCUGCUCCUAUGGAGAUUGGCAUGUCAUAUGACGGCAUCACCACCUUCUGUAGUCCGGUGCUCUUAUGAAAGAUCCUGCAAACCACCCACUAUCCCUACAAACAUACAUAAAUUAAAUAAGUGCAAAUCAACUAUGAUCAGUAGCACGCCCCCGGCGUGACGUUGUUGUCCCAGAUGCAAAUCACUUUGUCAUAAAUUGCUAAUAUUCGGCACGUAUCUUGCAUUACUUGGGUAUAUACACUCCUGUACAAGUGCGCAUCCCAAGAAUUGGGGACACAGUGACUCCGCUAGGCCUUGAGUCUUGGCCUCGGUCAACCUUUCCAUCCUUUAGAACAUUUAGGACUCAUGAAACUCCAUGACCUAUUAGUAAGAACAUUAUUAUUGAAUUCUCUCUUUUGACCCAUACGUUCAGGGAACCUACUCAAAGGAGGCCACUAUGUCUUGGUGGCUUUACCUCCCCUCACGCAUCGGUUGAACCUUGUAAUUGUUGCCAUGUAUUGGCUACAUUGAGUAAUAUUUAGGUGGCGAUUCUCCCCCCUGAUUGUUCAAAAUAAGUAGCUAACUAGCUACCGGCAUGUAGAUGAUUCAUGAGUACUACUAUACUAUCAAUUUAUUUUAUACCUUGGAAGCCGCGUUGGUGGUGGUGACAGUGCAGAUGGCGGUGGACUGGUUCGAUGUCAGUUGCUUGGUGCUCUUGAGCCUAUACUCAUGCAUGAUCCAGUUGGUCUUCUCCUGCCUAGGCCCCGCCCCUUAUGGAGGACAUGUGUCUUCCUCAUGCCAAUGAGCGUGAGGAUGGGUGGAAGAUCUCCUUGUCCUUUCCGUCGGCCUUCCAAUUGUCAACAUCUGUCGCCCGGUCCUUUCGUAUCCCGCUGGGGUACUUGCGAUCCUGUCGGCAGUAAUAGUACCACUCCUUCUCCCCCAUCUUUGCCUUACUCCGGUAGCUCCCAUACCUCGUACUUGUUGAGGUUCACAUCCUCAAUUGCCAUGGCGGCAAAGCUUUCAGCGAGCACCUUGGGGACCACAUAGAAGUUGAUGAUCUCCUCAUCUGUCGGGUGGAACCUCAACCCCGCUGGAGGCUCCAACUGUUGCUACUGAACUUGAAGGAAGUUUGCCAUGUGAAGGCUUUCUGUGCAAUGGAUCCAUGGGUGAGGGCAAUAUUGGACGCAAGGAUAAAGAAGUAUAUAACUAUGGAAGGAAUUUAAUGAGCUAAAUGUGUGUAGGGCUCUUGCAAGAGAAGCCUCAACAUUUCCAAGCCUUUUUUAUAGUUUUGUAUCUAGUGGCACUGGCUAUGGAUGGAUAGAUAGAUAUCUUCCUCUUUACAACUGUGUGUUGUUUGCUGUCUGAGAGCGGCCAUACCCUUGUGGUGACAAGUAUCAAGGCUUCUCGAGCCUAUCCAACCAUGAUAGGCCUGGCCGGCCCAGCAGUCAUUCGCAGGCUGACGCUUUAAUGAUGUCGCAAACUUUUCUAUUUUAUUUAUAUUUUAUUUAAAAAUACUAAUUGCAUGUAUUUACAAAAAAUAUUAAGGUACUCCCUCCGAUCCAUAUUAGUUGUCGUUGAAUCAAAUGUAUAUAGCGUGUUCAUCGCACAUUAAAAAUAUGUUCAUGCAAUGUAACCAAAAUGUUGGCUCAACAUUUAGAAAAUGCUUGUACCAUACAAAAAAGGGUCUUUUACAUCUGUGUCCCUAACUGAAACCCACUACUCAUAUUUGCCCCUAAUUUUUGGUAACGCACAAGAGGAGGGGAAGCGACCAUCACCAAUGGUCAAAAUAUUUGUGAGGGAGAGUCCACCAUAUACUGUCAAAAUAUGAGAGAGGAAGAAUCCCGACUGUUAUCGUGGGGGUCGCUUCUUCUUCAUUCAAAGGUGCUAGGCAUUUUGAUGUAAUGCACUUUCGAAUGAACAUAGGAGCGACCAUCACCGACAGUCGCAAAUGUCAGAGAGGAGGAAUCCCGACUGUUGUCGUGGGGGUCGGUUCUCCUUUGUUCCUGUGUGCUAGACAUUUUGGUGUAAUGCACUCGGGGACGAAGGGAGGAGCGACCAUCACCAACAGGUGAAUAUAUCAAAGGGAGUGACCACCAUGUACACCACGCGAGAUGAGAGUUUUCAACGAAAGACUCGACAUAUCGACAGUCAACCCAUGAUGAAUAAUUAUGAUCUGUGUGUUGAGUUCCUGUUAUUUGCGAUGGAUUUGUAAUCUUUGACUUAUGAACACAUGAAAUGUCUGACGACGAUAGGAUCCCUGAGUGCGACUACUGCGAAGACGUACGGGGUAUGUGCGAUAGGAUGCCUCAUCUGCAAAAUAGUAGGUGCUUCACCAUUGUGCUGAAGGAGACAUUCGACGUUUUUAUGGUAUGUAACGACGAUAAGUAUUUUUCCAUAAUUAAGCAUGACUUGCGAUUUUUGGUUUCAAUGUGUAAUUUCUAUUUUUUACAAUUCAAAUAGUCAUCUCAUGUCAUGCAAGACCGUAUGUCCUGUAAAAGCUGGGUUUCGAAGAUAGGGAGAGAACACAGACCGAGAGAGCUCACCUUAGGACAAAGCAUGGUUUCACUUUUCUGGAUGAGCUAUUUAAUGCACCAAAUAGCUCACAUUUUGGUUGCUCAACUUGGAGAGGACUUUGCAAGGCCUGUGAAUGUAAGGAGGAUAUGAAAAUAACCUUCGAUAUUUGGCCCAAAGAUGAAAUUGGUAUAUCGACAUUUGGGUGGAUGUGGACACGCUUCCAACUCUACCUCUUUGUGAAUUUUUCAAAUAAAUUUGUUAAGUAAUUUAUAUUUUUUAUUUAAAAAAUCAUUGAUGGCUUAUUUCCAUUGACAGCUUAUUUUCAUUCUUCAAAAAAUAUGCGGAAGAUAGAAGACAAAACCUACUAUGUCGAUAGCUCUGAACUAACUUAGGACGAGAAAGGUCAUCCCAUACAUGCAAACUCUCUCAAGGUCACACUGAAAAGUAAAUCCUGACGCAAAAAAAUGUUGGUUGGCAUAUACCGUCUGACCGUCUACUGAAUGAUUAACUUAUGCAUGCAUACACACAUAUAUGUUGUCUUGGGAUAUCUUUUCAUCAGUACUGCCAAAUUUCAUCCAUACCCAAGUUCACUGACGAGGUGUCACCAACUGCUGUUGUAGCGGCUUUCCCCGGAAAGUUGUUCCUCAGCCCGAUCACGGCGUACUCAUGUGACACCAUCGACGACGGCCCACUCCCAUGCUCAACUCUGGCCAUGAACCCCUGAUCCGCACCCAUAUGAAUCAUCAUCUGUUGAUGUUGUUAUUGGCUCUGGUAGAGCGACAACAGCGGCGUUGGGGCGGCCAUCAUGAGGUGGCGGUGGUUCCCAAAGUAGUGGCCAUUCAUCAAAGUAAGCGCCAAACUAACCAUCAUCAAUGAGCCAGCCCCAACGUCGUGCAACUAGUACUAAGAAGCUAUAGGAAACAGUGGUGGAUGCGCCACCGUUGACAAAAUGUCAUAGUCCAUGAGAGGCGUCAAUGUAUCUAAGUCAACGAAGCCCUACUGAUCUUUUGCUCCCAUGGACAUUGGCAUGGCAUAUGACGGCAUCUGCACCUUAUUUAGUACAGUGCUCUUAUGGAAGAUCCUGCAAACCACCCACUGUCCGUACAAACGUACAUAAAUUAAAUAAGCUCAAUUCAACUAUGAUCAGUAGCCAGAUUAGGGUGUGACGUUGUCCCAGAUGCCAAUCACUUUGUCAUAAGCUGCUCACAUUCGGCAUAUAUCUUAUAUUACUUGGGUAUUUAGGCACCCCCGUACAAGUGCCCAUCUCAAGAAUUGGGGCACAGUGACUCCACUAGGCCUCGAGUCUUGGCCUUGGUCAACCUUUCCAUCCUAUAGACAUUUAGGACUCAUGAAACUCCACGACCUACUAGUAAGAACUUUAUUUCUUGAUUUCUCUCUCUUGACCCAUACAUUCAGGAAACCUAAUCAACAGGAGGCCACUAUGUCAUGGUGGCUUUACCUCCCCUCACGCAUCGGUGCAACCUACUCAAAAGGAAGCCGCUAUGUCAUGGUGAGGCCGCUAUGUCGGCAGUAAAAGUACCACUCCUUCUCCCCCAUCUUCGACUUCUCCAGUAGCUCCCAUGCCUCGUACUUGUUGAGGUUCACAUCCUCAAUCGCCACGGCGGCAAAGUUUUCAUCGAGCACCUUGGGGACCUCUUAGAAGUUCAUGAUCUCGUCAUCCGUCGGGUGGAACCAAAGCCCUGGUGGUAGCUCCGACUGUUGCUGCUGAACUUGAAGGUAGUUUGCCAUAGUGGAGGCUUUCUGUGUAAUGGAUCGUAAGGUGAUGGAAAUAUUGGAGCAACCAUAAAGAUCCAUAUAACUAUGGAAGGAAUUUAAUGAGAUAGGGAUAUCCAUGGAAGCACUUUAAUAGGAGUAAAUGUCUGUACUGGCAGGGCUUUUGCAAGAGAAGCUUCAGCAUUUCCCAGCCUAUUUAAAAAUUUGUAUCUAGUCGCACUGGCUAUGGAUGGAUAGAUAGACAUUUUCCUCAUUACAAAUGUGUUGUUUGUCGUGUUAGAGGGGCGAUGUCCUUGUGCUGACAUGUAGCAAGGUUUCUCAAGCCUAUCCAAGCCUUGACAUGCCAGGCCGGCCCAGUAGUUAUUCGUGGGCUGACGCUUUGAUGAGGUCACAAACAUUUUUCUUUUGUUUAUUUUUUAUUUUUUCAAAAUACUAAAUGCAUGUAUUUUAGUAAAUAUUAAGUUACUCCUUCGAUCCAUAUCAGUUGUCACUGAACCAGAUGUAUGUAGAGUGUUCAUCGCACAUUAAAAAUAUGUUCAGCCAGUCAAACAAAAAUGUUGGCUCCACUUUUUGAAAAUGCUUGUACCAUAGAAUAAAAUGUAUGUAUCAUUUAAAAAUAUUAUAUGUUUCACAAAUGUAAGUGCCAUUUUUGAGAAAUGCUCUCCAAUAUAAAAAAAUGUUUGCAUAAUUGUUUUGAAAAAUGUUUGGUAACACUCAAUAAAGUGUACAUUAUAUUUUCUAAAAUGUUCACGUGUUUCAAAGUUAUGUUCGUGUCAUUCAAAAAAUGUUUAUACAAUACAAGGAAAUGGUAUCAUAUUUAGAAAUAAUAUAUGUAUCAUUAGAUCAAAUUUUUGAAAGUUUAUUUGAAAAAUGUUUUACACAUAUUCAAAAAGUACUAAGAAACAUGUAUUUGAAAAAAUGUUAGCUUUGUAUUUAAAAAUGUUAAACGUGUAUAACAGUGUUUACAUUACACGAAACAUGUACAUAGUGUGUGAAAAGAAGUAGACAACAAAACACGUAUUUAGAAGAAAACAAAUGUUAAUCAUGUAUUGGAAAAAUGUUAGACUUGCAUAAGAAAUGUCACCUGUUGCAUGCUGCAUCUGUUAAACAGGCCUCGAUUCCAACAUUGGGCUCGGUCAACCUUUCAAUCCUUUAGAACAUUUAGGACUCAUGAAACUCCACGACCUACUAGUAAGAACAUUAUUGUUGUCCCGGAUGCCAAUCACUUUGUGAUAAACGGCUCACAUUCGGCACAUAUCUUGCAUAACUUGGGUAUUUAGGCACCACUGUACAAGUUCCCAUCUCAGCAAUUGGGGACAUGGUGACUCCGCUACGCCUCGACUCAAACAUUUGGCCUCGGUCAAAAUUUCCAUCCUUUAGAACAUUUAGGACUCAUGAAACUCCAGGACCUACUAGUAAGAACAUUCUUGUUGAUUUCUCUCUCUUGACCCAUUCGUUCAGUUAACCUACUCAAAAGGAGGCCACUAUGUUAUGGUGACUUUACCUCCCCUCACGCAUCUGUGCAACCUUGUAAUUGUUGCCAUUUAUUGGCUACUUUGAGUAAUAUUCAGGUGGGGAUAGCCCCUAAUUGUUCAAAAUAAGUAGCUGACUAGCUACUAGCAUGUUGAUGAUUCAUGAGUACUACAAUAAUACCACUUCAUUAUAUACCUUGUGAGCCGCGUUGGUGGUGGUGACAGUGGAUGUGGUGGUGGCGGGUUGGAUGUCUGUUGCUUGUUGCUCUCAAGCCUAUACUCAUGCAUGAUCCAGUUGGUCUUCUCCCCUCUAGGCGCCCGACACUUGUAGAAGAAAGGUGUCUUCUUGAUGCCGAUGAGCAUGAGAGGUGGGUGGAAGAUCUCCUUGUCCUUUACGGUGGCCUUCCAAUAGCCGACAUCCAUCACUCGGUUCAUUUGUAUCCCGAUGGGGUACUUGUGAUCCUUUCGGCAGUAAAAGUACUACUCCUUCUCCCCCAUAUACACCUUCUCUGGUAGCUCCCAUGGCUCGUACUUGUUGAAUUUCACAUCCUCAAUCGCCAUAGCGGCAAAGUUUGCAUUUGCACCUCGGAGACCACACAUCCUAAACCCCGGUGGUAGCUCCAACUGUUGCUGCUGAACUUGAAGGUAGUUUGCCAUGGUGGAGGCUUUUUGUGCAAUGGAUCCUGGGGUAGGGAUGAAAAUGGAGUGGAAACUUUCCGUUUUUCCGGAGGAAAAAUGGAAAUGGAGAGGAAAUGUGAAAACGGAAACGGAAAUUUGCAAAAUGAAAGUGAAAAUGGAAUUUGUUAUGCGGAAACGGAAACAAAAAUGGAACGGUGUUUUCCAGUGGAACGGGCAUGGAAACGGAGCUUUCCAUUUCCGUGAAUAUGGAAUUUCCGUUUUUACUAUAGACCUAUGGUUGUUUUGUAGCUCAACCACCAAACAACACAAAAUGGCACAAUUAGUAGAAUGGAUCUGAGGCCCAACUUCUACUACCACACAAAAACUCACCUUGACCCUAUACGCAAUUGUCCAGUACUACUAUAACACUACACUAAGUUGCUAACAUAAUGAUAUUAUUUUGUAGCCAUGUUAACAACUCAUUAAAUUUGUUUAUUUUUGUGGGUAUUUCUCUAUGAUUAAAGGGGGUUUUUAAUUUCCGGUCAACGCCCACUUUUGUUUUCGUGUUCGCCUUGUAUUCGCUCCGUGUCCAUUUCCGGUAGUAUCUGUUUCCGUAUUCAUUUCUGGGGUUUCUGUAUUCGUUUCCGCUUCUGCAAAAAAAUAUGGAAACAAAUGUGGUAGCACACAGUUCCGUCCAUUUUCGCUCCGAAAUAUUGGACGCAACCAUAAAGAUGUAUAUAACCAUGGAAGUAAUUUAAUGAGCUAGGAAUAUCCAUCAAGGCGCUUAAAUAGGAGUAAAUGUGUGUACUGGUAGGGCUCUUGCAAGAGAAGCCUCAACAUUUCCAAGCCUUUUUUUAAUUUUGCAUCUAGUGGCACUGGCUAUGGGUGGAUAGAUUAGAUAUCUUCGUCUUUACAACUGUGUGUUGUUUGUCGUGUUAGAGUGGCCAUGCCCUUGUGGUGACAAGUAGCAAGGUUUCUCGAGCUUAUCCAAGCCAUGACAUGCCAGGCCGGCCCAGCAGUCAUUCGCAGGCUUACGCUUUGAUGACUUCACAGACGAUUUUCUUUUGUUUAUAUUUUAUUUUUUCAAAAUAAAAAUUGCAUGUAUUUAAAAAAAUAUUAAGUUACUUCCUCCGAUCCAUAUCAGUUGUCGCUGAAUCAUAUGUAUAUAGAGUGUUCAGCACACAUUACAAAUAUGGUCAUGCAGUGUAACAAAAAUGUUGGCUCAACUUUUAGAAAAAAGUUGUACCAUGCAAAAAAAUGCAUUUAAAAAUAUUCACACAUUUCACAAAUGUAACUGCCAUUUCUAAAAAACGUUCUAGAAUAUAAAAAAUGUAUGCAUAAAUUUUUCAAAAAUGUUUCGAACCACUCAAUAAAUUUUACAUUAUAUUUUCUAAAAUGUUCACGCGUUUCAAAGUUAUGUUUGUGUUAUUUUAAAAAAAAUUAUACAAUACAAGGAAAUGUUUUCAUAUUUAAAAAUAAUAUUAGUAUCAUUAGACAAAGUGUUUCGAAGUACAUUUGAAAAAUGUUUACACUUAUUCAAAAAAUACUCAAAACAUGUUUUUGAAAAAAUGUUAAUGUAUUUAAAAAUGUUUAGAUUAUACAAAACAUGUAGAUAAUGUGUGAAAAAAGUAGACAUCAAAACAUGUACUUAGAAGAAAACAAAUGUCAAUCAUGUAUUGGAAAAAAUUUAGACGUGCAUAAAAAAUUUCACAUGCUGCAUGAUGCAUGUGUCAAACUCAUGGUGUAGAGCAUGUUGCUCCCUUGGACAUCGCCACAAAAGUUCUCCCUGGAUUAGAUGUGGAAUAAAAUUACUAACACACAUUUAAAAGUGUAAGUAAUAGUUUAUUGGCACACAUUUCAAAGUGUAAAUAAGUGUGUAUGUCGUGGAUGGAACUCCCUCUAGGUCGGUGCAUGCCCAAAAUUCAUUUCCAAAUACUAUGCACACAUGUGAUCAAAUUCACACUAAAAUAAUUAAUGGAAAAUUAUAAUUACAAAAAUAGUUUAUUCUACAUGGGUUUAAAAGAUGCAUGAUGUACACCUGGCAGUAUUUUACAACACAUGCAUAUGUAGCUAGUUGAACUCCGGUGGCGGUGGGUAGUGCAUAUAAAAGCUAAUACACAUACACUCAAUUGAAAAACUAGUAGUGUUGGGUUAUCUGAUCAUCAGUACUGCCAAAUAUCUUCCAUACCCAAGUUCACUGACGAGGUCUCGCCAACUACUGUUGUCGCAGCGUUCCCAGGGAAGUGGUUCCUCAGCCCGGCCACGGCGUCCUCUUGUGACACCAUCGACGACGGCACACUCCCAGGCUUAGCCCCGACCAUGAAUCCCUGAUUUGCAC
rnacentral:lncRNA from 1 species